rnacentral:rRNA from 1 species
GACGAACGCUGGCGGCGUGCUUAACACAUGCCAGUCGAACGGAAAGGCCCUGCUUUUGUGGGGUGCUCGAGUGGCGAACGGGUGAGUAACACGUGAGUAACCUGCCCUUGACUUUGGGAUAACUUCAGGAAACUGGGGCUAAUACCGGAUAGGAGCUCCUGCUGCAUGGUGGGGGUUGGAAAGUUUCGGCGGUUGGGGAUGGACUCGCGGCUUAUCAGCUUGUUGGUGGGGUAGUGGCUUACCAAGGCUUUGAUGGGUAGCCGGCCUGAGAGGGUGACCGGCCACAUUGGGACUGAGAUACGGCCCAGACUCCUACGGGAGGCAGCAGUGGGGAAUAUUGCACAAUGGGCGGAAGCCUGAUGCAGCAACGCCGCGUGCGGGAUGAAGGCCUUCGGGUUGUAAACCGCUUUCGCCUGUGACGAAGCGUGAGUGACGGUAAUGGGUAAAGAAGCACCGGCUAACUACGUG